UGGGAACGUGCCCAAAGGUACGGAACAACUCCGGGAAACUGGAGCUAAUACCGUAUGUGCCCGAAAGGGGAAAGAUUCAUCGCCUUUGGAUCGGCCCGCGUCUGAUUAGCUAGUUGGUGGGGUAACGGCCCACCAAGGCGACGAUCCGUAGCUGGUCUGAGAGGAUGAUCAGCCACACUGGGACUGAGACACGGCCCAGACUCCUACGGGAGGCAG
rnacentral:rRNA from 1 species